AAUACUCCCUUUCACUUGUUCGCCUCAGGUAUGCAGACCUUCAUCUGAAGAUUUUCAUGCAUCAGAAAAAAGUCAGAAGUGGUCAGGAUGGCGUUUCUGCCUGUUCCAAGAAGAGAUUUUGUGACUAAGAAGCAGCUGAGAAGCUGGGCAGAUGGCCUGGAGAAGGAUAUUGGAUCUCAUCUUCCCAGCCUUUUGACCCUUCCCCUAAAGUCCCACAAUAAAAUAGUUUGAUUCCCCCCACUAAAUAUAUCUUUCUUUCAACAUAUCUUAUUGUUUUCCAUAUGUUGUGAAAAACUGGGGAGUACUAAUAUCUUGUGUGAUUACUGCCAUGACAGUAAUGCCUUUUGGAACCUUUAAAUACAUUUAUAUGUUGAAAUAAAUCCUUGUAGUUGUAAAGAAAGUUCAUUGAGAAUGCUGAAAA